rnacentral:lncRNA from 1 species
ACCGAAAGAAAGAGAAAGAAAGGAAGAAAAAUCCUCUCUGCGGUAGAAAGAGAAAAGAAAACUUGGGCUGACAAGAGGGGGGUGUUGGGGGGGGGGUGGAAGGAAGUGAGAAAACAAAAGAGAGAUAAAAGGGCUGCUUUUCUGUCUUUCUCUUCCUCCGCGAGCUGGGUUAGGAGGAGCUGUUUUGCAUCCCUUCACGUCAGCCCUGCCUCAUUCCCUUCUUCCAGGGAGGGAGAGCGAGCGAGCGAGCGAGAGAGAGAGAGAGAGAGGAGAGGGAGAGAGGGGGAGAGAGAGAGAAAGAGAGGAGCCGGAGGGAGGGCGGCAGGAGCAGGCGGCGGGCGCGCGUGGAGGCGGGCGGCGGGCGCGCAGCAGCAGCCCGGGCGGUGGGCAGCCAGGAGCCCCCCCCGGCCCCGGCCCGCCACGGGCCCCAGCGCAGGAGCCGCGCCCGGACCCAGGGUGAGUGUCCCGCGCGGCCCCCGGCCCCCGGCCCCGCAGCCCCGGGCGGCGCGCCGGCGGGGGCGCGGGGGGCGCGGGGGUGGGUCGCUGCGGCCGCAGCCGACCCGCCCCCCGCCUCUCCCCGGGGACGGCGGCGCGCAGGCCCUCGCCGCGCUGCAAACAUGUCGUCUUUUCCUUUCACUUCCACAUUCCCUCAUGCCGGAGAGCUGGAGGGAGAGAGGGAGAGCCGGGGAAAGAGGGAGAGAUGGCGUCUGGAGGGAGGGAGGGGGGUGUAGAGGGGGAAGGGAAGGAGGGAGCGUGCAAGCGAAAGCGGGCGAGAGCGAGGAGAGCGCGCGAAUGAGAGAGAGGAAGAGAGAGAAAGGGAGGGGAGAGAGAGAGAGAAGCAAAAAUGAAAGGAAAGCGCGGCGGCGGCGGGGCGGGAGGCCCGGAGGCGGCGGCGGCGGCUCGCGGGCCCGCACGUGGGUGUCCCGGCGCCCGGUGCGCUCCCCCCGCCGCCCGCCCGGGACUCAAAGUUUCACCCCCUCGCCGCGCCGCCCCGCCCCGCCGCUGCCCACAAACUUUAUUCUCCGGGCGGGUGGGGUGGCUGCGCGUCCCCGCCGUCCGGGGUGGGGGAGGGCCGGGCGCGCCGCCUGGCUGUCGGGGGGCGCCCCCCCGGGGCCGCCGCGCGCCCCCCCAGCCCGGGGCCAGGGACCUGUUGAAGGCGCUCGCCGUCCGGCCGGGUCCCCACGGCCCUCCUUGGUCGGUCUCGGUUCCCCUUCCUCGUCGCCCACCCUUCUCCGUUUCCUCGCGGUCAUUUUCCUAAUUGGACAGAGCUGUGGGGUGUGA